rnacentral:rRNA from 1 species
GAUGAACGCUGGCGGCGUGCCUAAUACAUGCAAGUCGAGCGAACAGAUGAGGAGCUUGCUCCUCUGACGUUAGCGGCGGACGGGUGAGUAACACGUGGAUAACCUACCUAUAAGACUGGGAUAACUUCGGGAAACCGGAGCUAAUACCGGAUAAUAUAUUGAACCGCAUGGUUCAAUAGUGAAAGACGGUUUUGCUGUCACUUAUAGAUGGAUCCGCGCCGCAUUAGCUAGUUGGUAAGGUAACGGCCUACCAAGGCAACGAUGCGUAGCCGACCUGAGAGGGUGAUCGGCCACACGAGAACUGAGACACGGUCCAGACUCCUGCGGGAGGCAGCAGUAGGGAAUCUGCCGCAAUGGGCGAAAGCCUGACGGAGCAACGCCGCGUGAGUGAUGAAGGUCUUCGGAUCGUAAAACUCUGUUAUUAGGGAAGAACAAAUGUGUAAGUAACUAUGCACGUCUUGACGGUACCUAAUCAGAAAGCCACGGCUAACUACGUG